rnacentral:snRNA from 1 species
AUGCUCUGGUUUCUUGUCCAAACAAAUAAAUCUUUCACUUUUUACUAAAGAUUCCCAUGGAGAGGGACAGUUGUGAGUUCAUAACCAAACUUUUAAGGCCUUGCUUAGGCAGGGCU